UACGAAGGGGGCUAGCGUUGCUCGGAAUCACUGGGCGUAAAGCGCACGUAGGCGGCUUCUUAAGUCAGGGGUGAAAUCCUGGAGCUCAACUCCAGAACUGCCUUUGAUACUGAGGAGCUUGAGUCCGGAAGAGGCGAGUGGAAUUCCUGGUGUAGCGGUGGAAUGCGCAGAUAUCAGGAGGAACACCAAUAGCGAAGGCAGCUCGCUGGGACGGUACUGACGCUAAGGCGCGAAAGCGUGGGGAGCGAACAGG
rnacentral:rRNA from 1 species